GUUUUCUAGCUGCAGUUGUCAAGAAGGGCUCUGGGCUGAAACUUGAAUGAAUUGAGGGAGAGAACCAUGUAAUCCCUUAUGCGUGAGUGUGUGUGUGUGUGUGUGUCUGUCUGUGUGUGCAUGCAUGUAUUCGUAGGGGGAUAAUGUGGCUAAAUUAGAGCAAGAGGAGUGUGGAUAAAGAGAAGUAGCCAAGGUCCAGGUUCUGCAGUGAUAAGAGCAGACAUUUUUAGGUUUGGAGAGACUUAGUGAAGAAAGCAAGAGGGCUAUAGCUAUAGCUACAGCUACAUGACAGAAGAAAGUGCUUUAAAAAGAUACCACUCACACGGAAAAGAAAUGUGCUCUUGGAGGAAGACACUCUGUCAACCCAUAUAGAUUGUUUAAGAUUUGAUUAUGAACAUAAAAGGAUACUUGAUUAUAGUAUAAUCUCUCAGUAAAAAGCCCUUCUAUGUGAAUUGGAGAAUGACUUAAAUUUUCUACCAGGGACACUGAAGUUGAAGCAUAAGAUGAAGAAAGAUGAGGAACUGAUAAGUUAAACCAUGAUCUCUGCCACAAAACAGAGAAGGCUAAGGAUAAGAAUGAAUUUGAUGUGAUAAAAACAAACUCACAAAAGACUUGAAGUUUCUCUCUGAAACUAAUAGGAACCCUUGCCUACUCUACUUAUCUAGCUAUAAUUACAUAAACAUUUCCAAAGCAAUUGUGAUAAGCUGUGAAAUUCACCAAAGACAUUUUCCCACGAUUAUCAAGAGGUAAACACUGUUUUUAUUUUGUGACAUCUCUUAUAAACUAAAUACAUACAUAGCUCCAUAAAAUGUAGAAAAGGAGGGUGAAAGAUGUAAAAAGCAUAAUGAUUGCUUUCAACAGAAGAAAAAAUUCUUAAAAUAAAGCCCUCUUACAGGCUCAAUUUAAAUUCCGUAAUUACUUAUUGAACACGUACUAUAUGAAAUGCACAGAAUAAGGUCAAGCAUAAAAAUCUUAUGUAUGUUCUCUGGCUUCCAAGUUGCACAAAAUCUUACAGGGCAGAGGAGCCAAAUAAAGAACUAUCUUGCAAGGAGAAGGGUGAUAAUGCUACACAAGUCCUUGUAUGCCUCAUAGAAGUGAAUUUACUCAAAGAAUACCAAAUCUUUGUAGACAAGUUCUAGCUUUUGAAUUUGCUGAACUAUGUGUUGUCCUGGUAACACAAUUGAAUCCACUUCUUUAUUUAAAUCUCCACUGAACUGAAUGCAUUUCAGUGAAAAUCUAUUCUUUCUUUCUUUCUUUCUUUCUUUCUUUCUUUCUUUCUUUCUUUCUUUCUUUCUUUCUCUUUCUCUUUCUUUCUUUCUCUCUCUCUCUCUCUUUUUUUUUCUGUAUCUCUAGUGCCACUCAGGGCUAAAGUAUGAAAUAGGAGCACAAUACAUUAUUUGUUGAGCUGAAAUAAAACAGAGAGUGACAGCUCUUAAGAUAACUUUAAACCAAAACUAAAAUUCUAAUGUGUCCCCAAACCAGCCAUCUGAAUGGACCUCUCUUCUUGGCUGAGGACAUUCCAAAAUGAGUUCAGGCCAUGUCAGGAAAGAAAGGUUGGACAUUGCUCAUUAUACUCUCCUCCCUUUGGGAAUUCAGGAAAAGCCAACUAGUAUUUAACAUCAACACAGACCUUAAGUCUGAUAAGAAACAUUUAUAAUCUAUCCUCUCUGAAGCCUGUUGCCUGGACGCUUCACCUGCAUGAUAAAACUUUGCUCGCCACAACCCCUUAUCAUUGUAACACGGACAUUUCUUUCUAUUGAUUCCAGGUCUUUAGAUAAUAAAUGAACUCUUUCAACCAAUUGCCAAUCAGAAAAAAUUUAAGUUUACCUAUAACCUGGAAGCCCCCACUUCAAGUUGUCCUGCUUUUCCAAACAGAACCAAUGUAUAUCUUACAUGUAUUUGAUUAUUGUCUCAUGGCUCCCUUAAACAUAUAGAACUAGGCUAUACUCCAACCACCUUGGACACAUGUUCUCAGGGUAUCCUGAAGGCUGUGUCAUGGGUCACUGGACACUCAUAUUUGGCUGAGAAUAAAUCUCCUCAAAUAUUUUUUAGAGUUUGACUCUUUUUGUCGAUAGAACAGUAACAAUUGCCUAUUUUUCUAUCCUGUUCUUUUUUUUGUUUUGUUUUGUUUUUCCGAGACGGAGUCUCGCUCUGUCGCCCGGGCUGGAGUGCAGUGGCGCGAUCUCUGCUCACUGUAAGCUCCGCCUUCCGGGUUCACGCCAUUUUCCUGCCUCAGCCUUCCGAGUAGCUGGGACUACAGGCGCCCGCCACCAUGCCCAGAUAAUUUUUUUGUAUUUUUAGUCACGCCCGGCUAAUUUUUUUGUAUUUUUAGUAGAGAUAGGGUUUCACCGUGUUAGCCAGGAUGGUCUUGAUUUCCUGACCUAUUGAUCCGCCCACCUUGGUCUCCUAAAGUGCUGGGAUUACAGGCUUGAGCCUCCGGGCCCGGCCUUUUCUAUCCUGUUCUUAAUACCAGAUUGACACACAGCUGAUGCUAAGAUAUGUGGUUUAUAAUGAUUUCUUUCCGUCUCUCUAAUUCUGACAUAGCUUUUUAAAAAUGCUUAUCUAAAGGUUAAUAAUUUCAUUGAAACCACAGCCUAGAUGCUGGGGUCAUUGAUAAGUAUUUGUGUUUGAUUAUUAUUUUUAAAAUUAUCAUUUAGUAAAAUUGACAUUUUUAUUGUGUGGUGUAAAGAUUUAUGAAUUUUAACAUGUUUGGGUUGGUGUAACCACCACUACAAUUAGCACACAGAAUAGUUCUAUCAGUGCAAAAAGCUCUCUCAUGGUAUCCUUUGUAGCCAUUUCCUCCCCUACCGAUAAUCUCUGACAACCAGUGAUCUGUUCUCUAGAAUGUCCAAUCUUUGGUAGUAAUGGGAAUUUUAGUUCAUUUUCCAAAAAGUGUCUUAUGUUGUAAUAGUUGGAACUCAUGCAUUUAGGUAAGAAAAAACAUAUUAUGUCUUUAAAUAAUGCAUUUAAAAAUAAACGUUAGUAACUGUAUCUUUUUCAAAUGUGUUUUUUCUCUAUGUCGCUGGGUUUUUUGGUUUUAUGGUCCAUGAAAGAGAACAGAAAUGAAGAAGACACAUACACACGCAUUUCCACUCAUUAUUUCCCCUGCCUUAAAAUUAUUAACUUGGUCCUUCCUCAAAAUAUUUAUACUUUAAUUAAAAUGGCUGAAGGCAAAUCUAAUUUUUAUAGGUGAUCACUCCUCACUGAUCUCCCAUUAUAGGUACAGUUGCUAUAAUUACUCCUGAAUUAAAGAAACAUAUAACUUCACAAUAUAAAAUGUCUCCCACAACCAUGCAUUCCCUUCUCCCA
rnacentral:lncRNA from 10 species